rnacentral:piRNA from 1 species
AGGGACAACACGGCCUGGAUGGCCACAU